rnacentral:rRNA from 1 species
GCGGCGUGCCUAACACAUGCAAGUCGAACGAGAAAGUGGAGCAAUCCAUGAGUAAAGUGGCGACCGGGUGAGUAACACGUGACUAACCUGCCUUCGAGUGGGGGAUAACCUCGGGAAACCGGGGCUAAUACCGCAUAAUGCCUUCGGGUUAAAGAAGCAAUUCGCUUGAAGAGGGGGUCGCGGCUGAUUAGCUAGUUGGUGAGGUAACGGCUCACCAAGGCGAUGAUCGGUAGCCGGCCUGAGAGGGCGCACGGCCACACUGGAACUGAAACACGGUCCAGACUCCUACGGGAGGCAGCAGUGGGGAAUUUUGCGCAAUGGGGGAAACCCUGACGCAGCAACGCCGCGUGGAGGAUGAAGUCCCUUGGGACGUAAACUCCUUUCGACCGGGACGAUGAUGACGGUACCGGUGGAAGAAGCCCCGGCUUAACUUCGUGCC